GAUGAACGCUGGCGGCGUACCUAAUACAUGCAAGUCGAGCGAACAGACGAGGAGCUUGCUCCUCUGACGUUAGCGGCGGACGGGUGAGUAACACGUGGAUAACCUCCCUAUAAGACUGGGAUAACUUCGGGAAACCGGAGCUAAUACCGGAUAAUAUAUUGAACCGCAUGGUUCAAUAGUGAAAGACGGUUUUGCUGUCACUUAUAGAUGGAUCCGCGCCGCAUUAGCUAGUUGGUAAGGUAACGGGUUACCAAGGCGACGAUGCGUAGCCGACCUGAGAGGGUGAUCGGCCACACUGGAACUGAGACACGGUCCAGACUCCUACGGGAGGCAGCAGUAGGGAAUCUUCCGCAAUGGGCGAAAGCCUGACGGAGCAACGCCGCGUGAGUGAUGAAGGUCUUCGGAUCGUAAAACUCUGUUAUUAGGGAAGAACAAAUGUGUAAGUAACUAUGCACGUCUUGACGGUACCUAAUCAGAAAGCCACGGCUAACUACGUG
rnacentral:rRNA from 1 species